rnacentral:rRNA from 1 species
UCGAGCGGAAACGAUGAUAGCUUGCUAUCAGGCGUCGAGCGGCGGACGGGUGAGUAAUACUUAGGAAUCUACCUAGUAGUGGGGGAUAGCUCGGGGAAACUCGAAUUAAUACCGCAUACGACCUACGGGAGAAAGGGGGCAGUUUACUGCUCUCGCUAUUAGAUGAGCCUAAGUCGGAUUAGCUAGAUGGUGGGGUAAAGGCCUACCAUGGCGACGAUCUGUAGCUGGUCUGAGAGGAUGAUCAGCCACACCGGGACUGAGACACGGCCCGGACUCCUACGGGAGGCAGCAGUGGGGAAUAUUGGACAAUGGGGGCAACCCUGAUCCAGCCAUGCCGCGUGUGUGAAGAAGGCCUUUUGGUUGUAAAGCACUUUAAGCAGUGAAGAAGACUCCGUGGUUAAUACCCACGGACGAUGACAUUAGCUGCAGAAUAAGCACCGGCUAACUCUGUGCCAGCAGCCGCGGUAAUACAGAGGGUGCAAGCGUUAAUCGGAAUUACUGGGCGUAAAGCGAGCGUAGGUGGCUUGAUAAGUCAGAUGUGAAAUCCCCGGGCUUAACCUGGGAACUGCAUCUGAUACUGUUAGGCUAGAAUAGGUGAGAGGAAGGUAGAAUUCCAGGUGUAGCGGUGAAAUGCGUAGAGAUCUGGAGGAAUACCGAUGGCGAAGGCAGCCUUCUGGCAUCAUAUUGACACUGAGGUUCGAAAGCGUGGGUGGCAAACAGGAUUAGAUACCCUGGUAGUCCACGCCGUAAACGAUGUCUACUAGUCGUUGGGUCCCUUGAGGACUUAGUGACGCAGCUAACGCAAUAAGUAGACCGCCUGGGGAGUACGGCCGCAAGGUUAAAACUCAAAUGAAUUGACGGGGGCCCGCACAAGCGGUGGAGCAUGUGGUUUAAUUCGAUGCAACGCGAGAACCUUACCUGGUCUUGACAUAUCUAGAAUCCUGCAGAGAUGCGGGAGUGCCUUCGGGAAUUAGAAUACA